AUUGAACGCUGGCGGCAGGCUUAACACAUGCAAGUCGAGCGGUAGCACAAGAGAUCUUGCUCUCUGUGUGACGAGCGGCGGACGGGUGAGUCAUGUCUGGGAAACUGCCUGAUGGAGGGGGAUAACUACUGGAAACGGUAGCUAAUACCGCAUACCGUCGCAAGACCAAAGAGGGGGACCUUCGGGCCUCUUGCCAUCUGAUGUGCCCAGAUGGGAUUAGCUAGUAGGUGGGGUAAUGGCUCACCUAGGCGACGAUCCGUAGCUGGUCUGAGAGGAUGACCGGCCACACUGGAACUGAGACACGGUCCAGACGCCUAAGGGAGGCAGCAGUGGGGAAUAUUGCACAAUGGGCGCAAGCCUGAUGCAGCCAUGCCGCGUGUGUGAAGAAGGCGUUCGGGUUGUAAAGCACUUUCAGCGAGGAGGAAGGUGGUGAACUUAAUACGUUCAUCAAUUGACGGUACUCGCAGAAGAAGCACCGGCUAACUACGUG
rnacentral:rRNA from 1 species